CUGGACAGAGGGGUGGCUGUGGAUGUAGUGAGGUAAAUAGAAGCCUGGACAGAGGGGCGGCUGUGGAUGUAGUGAGGUAAAUAGAAGCCUGGACAGAGGGGCGGCUUUGGAUGUAGUGAGGUAAGUAGAAGCCUGGACAGAGGGGCGGCUGUGGAUGUAGUGUGGUGAGUAGAAGCCUG